CCAGAGCCAAAGGUCAUCAAGGCCAAUCUUUAAACCACGAAAUCUGUUUAGUUUUAAAAUGUUUUAGCCGUCUUUCACCGAAAAAAAGUUUAAAAAAAUCAAUUAAGACAGAAAAAAGUGCUAGCUUUAUUUUAUUUUAUUUUUUUAUUUUCCAGACACAUUUUUUUACAUUGUUUAUUGUCUGGCAACGAUACAUUGUUUUGAAUUCAAGUUCGUUUGUGAAGACCGGAAUGGUAUAAACUGACCUAUUAAGCAUCUUUUAGAGUGCUCUGUUUUAUUGUCACGAUUUGUAUGCAAGGGUGACCAUGACAACAGACUUCCGUGAAUGCCUUCAUAGUUGGAACAUUUUAUUUCUUACAACUGAUGAAAAGAAAUGUGCUUAGAUGAGGGGAAGUUUCUGAAAAUCCAAGAUGUCUCAGAUUGUUGGUGUGUGGGAAGUUGUGUUAAAUGGUAAAAAGCACCAAGUAGAGUUUGAACAUGGUACAACAUCCGGAAAGAGGAUCAUUAGGGUGGACGGAAAGGUAAUU